rnacentral:lncRNA from 1 species
UUCUCCCAGUGAGAACUUUUAAUGGGCGGUUUCAGAGCCAGGAGACUCAAGGGCCAGGGCUCUUAACGUCUCAAACAAGGCAUUCACUUUUGUAAACCCCCUUCCCUGCAGCUACCACUCCACUCUCAUCCUUGCCAACUCCCACUGUUGCGCUGGAUCACUCUGCUCGGUCACGCGGCCUCUCGACCCAGUUCGUUCGCACUUCCGGGAAGCCCAAAUCCUGUCUCGGCCGUACUUGGCUUACCCGCCGCUCUCCUCUGAGUCGAGUGGCAGACUUGCCUGGGUUUCUCCAGUUGUUGGUUUUUCAUCCCGGGUCAACCCUGAUGCUCCUUUCCCACCCCAGGCUACUGCAAAUCUUCCCGAAUCCUCACAGCCCCGAGCUCUCCCACCACGUCCGCCG